GGCUCCUUCCUUUCUCGCGAGCUAAGAUCAUUAAGGAGAAGACCCGUUGGUGUUCGCGCCCCCCUAGGAAACAGACGGCGGGAUCUCCUUUCUGCUUCCUUUCUCGCCGCUGCUGGGUGUCGGAAGGCGUCAAAAGUAGAACCGAAAUAAAGUCUACUUAAGGAA